CAAAAUGAGUACAGAAAAACAUAAAGAUUCAAGAAAAACAAGGAAUAAUGAAGACAAACCCAACUUCCUCUAGGGAAAGACUGGAUAUUCCUCUAGGCUAAGCAGCCGCCAACUUCAGGAUAAAAAUAAAACCUACCUCCCCUAGACCUAAAAAACCUAUUUAUAUUCCUUCUCUCAUCUUUCUCUUAUUUCUGUGCCUGGGCCCCACCUGCACGAUCUCCUCUUUUUCCUUCCUCAUUAUUAAUUUGUCCAAUUACUUUUCUGCCCCUCCUUUGAUAUGUAUGAAUAAUUGGAGGUCUUACAGCUUCAAAAUCGAACACUUCAAAAUACGAUAGUUUCCAGUUUCCUCGUAGGAUUUAGUCUGUACAAAAAUUUAAUAGGCACAAAUCUAGAAUUGAGCAUUGAUCAUGAUAAAGUUGCAAGCGAACAACAUGAGUCUAACGAUCACGCCAAUUGAUGUAAUGCUUUUUUUAUAUAUUAAUUUGCUGUCUUUUUGUGGACAUUGCAGAAAAUGCUUCAAUAUAAUCCAGCAGACAGAAUCUCAGCUAAAGCAGCUCUUGACCAUCCAUAUUUCGAUAGCCUCGACAAGUCUCAGUAUUAAGAGAAGAUGAUAGCAAAUGGUAAUGUGAUAUUAUGUGAUAUUGAUGAUAUGUAUUGCAAAAUUAAUUGUUGUUUCGUGUGGUUUUCUGAAAGAGAGAGAAAAAAAAAAGGUCAAGGUGUGUCAUCAUCUUGGUGAAUCUACUCUAAAAUUUGUAUUUGUGAAUUUAAAUUAAGAAUUUUAUUGUUGGCUCAUCUUGAUGAUCUAUAUGAAUAAGCUCAUUUUUGGUUGCCGAUUCAUAGAUGAAAGAAUUGGAAGAUAGUUAUGGAGAUUUGAGGACAAGUUUGAGGGAAUGUAAAGGUCAUUCCAAUACAAAAGGUUUGAUACUGAUAUUGCACAAUAAAGAUAUGUUUUCGUUAAGUGACAAUACAAAAUUGAAUGUCUUCAAGAUAAUGUGAGAAUUGUUUUAGUUUAACGAGGAAAAAUAAUGGGAUUUGAUUAUUGAGAAGACAUGGAUUGAAUUUUCAUAGACACCAUGUAAUGGGGUUGAUAUAGAUUAAAAUUAGAAAUCAAUUUUCUGUUAGAAAAAUUAUUUCAAAUGACAAAAUUAUCGAAAAGUCUUAUUUGAUUGAUUUUUUCUUUUGGGGAGAAGGCAUGAUUUGAAAUUGGAAGGGAAGAUGAGGUGGGAAUGUUUUCUUUUUUUAAAAAAGGUUAAUUAAAUGUCAUUUCAAUAUUUAAAACUAUAUAACAAUAAUAAUGAAUCAAAGUAAUCUCAUACCCGUCAUAAGAAACUUGAAGGUCAUGUGCCAAGAAUUAACAUUAAUGUUGUUCAACUUUAUAUGUAAAAGAAGUUGCAUUAAAUGAAGUGAAAAAUCAUGCAUCAAUUAGGGAAUAAAUACUUUGUAAUUCUUUGAUGACUUUAAAAUUAUCCACCAAAACAUUUAAAUUCCAAACCUCUUGAUUUUUAGUACAUAUUAGUUGAAUUAAGUUGAUGAUUAAGGAUAAGAAUUUUGGAUUUUAUAGAAUUUUUUAGUUUUUUUAUUUCUUUGUCACACACUAGGGGCAAAAAAUCAGGUUGGGUUGUGAGACAUUCUCAAUCCAAUCUAUUGGCAACCCGAAUUUAGUUUCUAACCCAAUCCAACCCAUAAAAUAUGGGUUGGGUUGUCGGGUUGUAUAAUUUUUUUUUCUAGUUUCUAAUGAUUAUAAAAGUUUAAAAAUGUUACAUUUAAAUUUCAUACAUAAUUCAAAAUUUCAUACAAUAAAUUUAAAUUUUGUACACCUAAUUUAUUUUUUAUUAAAUAUUAUAUAUAGAGAGACGUAACCCAACCCGAAAAAAGCCAUAUUUCUUUGGGAUAGUUGCAAAUUUAGCAAUUAAAUUCAAAUUAAUUAAGUAUAUAGCACAAUUUUAAAAGAUUUGCAAAAACAGCAAAAUUUGUCAAAUUCUAUCAAUGACAUAAGCCUAUGAUAGAUCAUGUUACAAAUAUUGGUCUAUCACUGAUAUACCAUAUGAAGUCUAUCAGCGAUACAAGUCUAUCAGUGAUAGUUUUGCUAUAUUUGCAAUUUUUUAAAAAUGUUUCUAUAUCCUUAAUUAUUAUUGCUGAAAUAGUCAUCCAUUGCAAUUUUCCUAUUUCUUUAACCGAACAUAACCCAUAUUUUAACCUACCCCAACCCAAUCCUUAUAAUAUGGGUAAAGUCGUCCUAGUUAUUCAGGUUUAACUCAUAUUCUUACACCUCUAUCAUAAAGUAUAAGAGGGCGUUUGGUGCGAUGAGUGAUUUAUGAUAUGGAAAAAGAGUAUGAUAGUUCUAGUGUUAUGAUAGUUUGCUUUUGGGCAAGAAGUAUGAUAAAUAGUGUUAUGAUAGUAUGUGUUUAAGGGAAGGAAUAUGAUAGAUAAUGUUAUGAUAGUCUGCGUUUAGAGUAGAGAUGUCCACUUAACCCGCAAGGUUAGGAACCUGCUAAGAACA
rnacentral:lncRNA from 1 species